UCCCCGUUACCGGGGCAGUCUAGCUAGAGAAUUCCAACUAACUAUAAGGGUUGCGCUCGUUGAUGGACUUAACCAAACAUCUCACGACACGAGCUGACGACGGCCAUGCAACACCUGUCACUGCGGCCCGAAGGCACUGUCCCCUUUCGGGGUCAUUAGCAGGAUGUCAAGCCUGGGUAAGGUUCUUCGCUUAUCAUCGAAUUAAAGAACACGCUCCACCGCUUGUGCGGGUCCCCGUCAAUUCCUUUAUGUUUUAAGCUUGCGCUCGUACUCCACAGGCGGGAUGCUUAACGCGUUAGCUUCGCUACGUAGAGGGUCGAUACUCCACACAGCUAGCAUCCAUCGUUUACGGCGUGGACUAA
rnacentral:misc_RNA from 1 species